AGAGAGAUAUAAAGAAAAAGAAAAUGAACAUUGUUCGGAAGAAGUAAAAGCUAAGUAAAUACUCCAAUCUUAAGAAAAAGCAGAGCAAGCAUAAUAUAUUCAGCAUAUUUGUGAGACUUGUGUGAGCAUUCUUUUGGAAGGGAUAAAAUUAGUAAUUAAUUAUAUUUAAAUAGGAAGAGUUUGGAGUGAAUAUCUUGUUGUUGAAGAGAACAGUUUAACCUUUCUACAUUGCUCAUCAUAGGGAUGGUGCCAAUGGGGAGGCUAGUGGUAGUACCCGGUACUAUUUGACCUAACUAUUCGGUGUAGGG
rnacentral:lncRNA from 1 species